GAGCAAACUCGAUCACUAGCUCUGCAUAUUGUGGCAGCAGCUAAGGGAACCAGGUUUGCUAGAGUAAUUGUGAUAGCUAUGUAUGAACCUCAGAAGCUACUGAGGUGCCCAUUCUGUCACAGUACAGUC